ACACGCGUGUACACGCUCGCGAGGAGACGCGUAUAUUAUAAGCGCGCCGGAUGCGCGGAUCGGGCGUGCUGUUGCGUGCAACGUGAUUUAGUGACGGCCCCGGGGCCUGAUGGAUCAUCCAUUGAAUGGUAAUCUUCGUUCGAGCCCCGGGACCAGCUCCGAGGCUCGUCUUCGCCGACUCUUUCUCUUCGUUUCGUCUUGUUCCUUCGUUUCGUCGCUCCUUCGAGGGUCUCGAUGACGUCGUCGAGUUUGCACGCCCGUGGAAUGUUCUUUUGGAGAAAUGGGCGGGGGUUUGAUAGGAGUGGCGAUCGUCAAGGUGUGUUUCAAGUGAUUCUCUGGGUUUAUCGAGGUGGUCUGAGGUUGGCGGUACGAUAGAGAUCGUCUUUCGACUAAUUAUUUGCGCCUUCGUUCGUUCAUAUAUAUCCCGAAAGGACGAGACGAUACUUCGUUUUUCACGAGCUUCAAGAUUUCCCAAGAACGGUACUACGAUCUGCGUGUUUCAUAGACCAAACUCUGUAGAAUCGAUCGCGGUGGAUGGUCCAGACUACAAGGCCGCGUCGCGCGUGUUCCAUAAAACGUUCUCUAAAUUGACAGGCGAGGCCUAUCGCGGUCUGAACGGUUCUAGCGAAAUUCCCUGUGUGGGUACAUCACGAACAAUGCUGUCGGAACAAAGGCUACGGGAGAUGAAUAUCCAGCGCUACACGACGUGUGUACCAGGCUAUAUAACCGAAGUCGGUGGCACGGCAGCGGGAC
rnacentral:misc_RNA from 1 species